GAUGAACGCUAGCGGCAGGCUUAACACAUGCAAGUCGAGGGGCAGCGCGGGUAGCAAUACCUGGCGGCGACCGGCAAACGGGUGAGUAACACGUGGGAAUCUACCCAUCAGUACGGAAUAACAUUUGGAAACAAAUGCUAAUACCGUAUAUUCUCUACGGAGGAAAGAUUUAUCGCUGAUGGAUGAGCCCGCGUUAGAUUAGGUAGUUGGUAGGGUAAUGGCCUACCAAGCCGACGAUCUAUAGCUGGUCUGAGAGGAUGAUCAGCCACACUGGGACUGAGACACGGCCCAGACUCCUACGGGAGGCAGCAGUGGGGAAUAUUGGACAAUGGGCGAAAGCCUGAUCCAGCAAUACCGCGUGAGUGAUGAAGGCCUUAGGGUUGUAAAGCUCUUUUAGUAGGGAAGAUAAUGACGGUACCUACAGAAAAAGCCCCGGCUAACUCCGUG
rnacentral:rRNA from 1 species